CAACUCUCAUCCUACAUCAUUGGAUCGAGAAAUGGAUGUCUGAGAUUCGUCCACGUCACCAUGAGUUAAAAUUUAACUCCCAAUAAAUUUUAACUCAUGAGUGAAUCUGCGAGUUAAAUUUUAACUCAUGGUGACGUGGACGAAUCUCGGACGUCCAUUUCUCGAUCCAACGGUGUAGGAUGAGAGUUG
rnacentral:pre_miRNA from 1 species